UAGGGAAUCUUCCGCAAUGGACGCAAGUCUGACGGAGCAACGCCGCGUGAGUGAAGAAGGAUUUCGGUUCGUAAAACUCUGUUGUUAGAGAAGAACAGCGCAUAGAGUAACUGUUAUGCGUGUGACGGUAUCUAACCAGAAAGCCACAGCUAACUACGUGCCAGCAGCCGCGGUAAUACGUAGGUGGCAAGCGUUGUCCGGAUUUAUUGGGCGUAAAGCGAGCGCAGGCGGUCAAUUAAGUCUGAUGUGAAAGCCCCCGGCUCAACCGGGGAGGGUCAUUGGAAACUGGUUGACUUGAGUGCAGAAGAGGAGAGUGGAAUUCCAUGUGUAGCGGUGAAAUGCGUAGAUAUAUGGAGGAACACCGGUGGCGAAAGCGGCUUUCUGGUCUGUAACUGACGCUGAGGCUCGAAAGCGUGGGGAGCGAACAGG
rnacentral:rRNA from 1 species